UAUAAUAAGAAAGUUUGAUAGAAAAUAUUUCUUGUUUUACUUAAUUUGCAACAACAUAUUGUGAUCCGCUAGCAAUAAUAACUCGUUGGGCCCAAAACAGUCAAAUCUCAAUUAUUAUUAUUAUUGGGGUGUGCAGUCUCUUAUAUUAUCAAUCAGAAGGAUUAUAGGGAUCUUACAUUUGGUUAAUCUGUAAUUUUAUAGUUUUACCGAAAAAUGGAGCAGCAUACUUUUAUAUACUUUCAUUCUAAGGCUUCGUUUGGAAUUGCGAAGAGAUUGCAUUACCUACGGUGAGAAAGCAUGAUGAAAAAAUACACUAUUUGUUUCCAUACGUAAUAUUGCGUUUCGCAUAUCGCGAUAAGUAUAUGAUAUAUUUUCUACGGCCCUAUCAAACAAACACAGAAGCAUAUUCUUAUAUACUUUUACCGCUUUUACCCUAACUCCACUUUAUCUAAUAACAUCAUAUGGACCUCAAUACCAAACUAAGCCUAAUUUCUUUUUGCCCAAUAGUACUUGUUAGACAACCUCUUACAAUGCCUAACCUAUUUGUU
rnacentral:lncRNA from 1 species